rnacentral:rRNA from 1 species
AGAGCGAACGCUGGCGGCGUGCUUAACACAUGCAAGUCGAACGAGGUCUGUAGCAAUACAGAUACUCGUGGCGAACGGGUGCGUAACACGUGGAUAACCUUCCUUCAGGUGGGGAAUAACCCAGUGAAAAUUGGGCUAAUACCGCAUAACAUGACGAUGCCACAUGGUGUUGUCUUCAAAGGCGCAAGUCGCCAGAAGAGGGAUCCGCGGCCGAUUAGCUAGUUGGCGAGGUAAUGGCUCACCAAGGCAAUGAUCGGUAGCCGGACUGAGAGGUUGGCCGGCCACACUGGAACUGAGACACGGUCCAGACUCCUACGGGAGGCAGCAGUGGGGAAUCUUGCACAAUGGACGAAAGUCUGAUGCAGCAACGCCGCGUGGGGAUGAAGCUUUUCGGAGUGUAAACCCCUUUCGACCCGGAAGAAGCCCGCAAGGGUUUGACGGUACGGGUAUAAGAAGCCCCGGCUAACUACGUGCUAGCAGCCGC